rnacentral:hammerhead_ribozyme from 1 species
AUCCAGCUGACGAGUUUCAAAUAGGACGAAACGCGCUUCCUCGAU